ACGAACGCUAGCGGCGUGCCUAACACAUGCAAGUCGAACGAGAAAUCCUGAGCAAUCGGGAGAGUAAAGUGGCGCACGGGUGAGUAACGCGUGGGUAAUCUACCCUGGAGUCAGGAAUAACACUUCGAAAGGAGUGCUAAUACCUAAUAACAUCCUGGAGAUUUCGGUCUCCGGGAUAAAAGAUGGCUGAGGCUUGCAAGCUAUCAUUCCAGGAUGAGCCCGCGUACCAUUAGCUAGUUGGUGGGGUAAUGGCCCACCAAGGCAACGAUGGUUAGCUG
rnacentral:rRNA from 1 species